GUUUGAAAAGAAGCAAGCCGUCCGCAUUCAUUCAAUCUCACAUCCGACCACUCAAACUAACCCUAAUCCUGCAUUCCAUUGUUUCCAUCAUGGGAAAUCUAAGUGACGCUCUCAAAUUAACAGGAACAUUGCGCAGAAGAUAUGUCCUGGGCAAUGGACUGAGAAAACGGGCAGAGAUUUGGAGGUAUUUGUGCAUGCUCUAUAUUACAGUUGAAAAGUGUAUAACAGCUUUCCAAUGCUGUUACUUGUGGCGAACACCUUUUUGCUUGAGUUGAUGCGUGCCCGCAGGUGGAAUAAUGUCACAUGUCACACACAUUUUCUGUUGUUUUGAUUUAUUUACUCAUUCAUCAUUUUAUGUGCGCACCUCUCCUAAUCAACCCACCCAUUAAAUAGACAGGCACAAUAGCACCAUCUGCUGGCACAAAAAAUACAUAACAAUAAACUGCAAAACCCCAAUCUGGCUCCUACAAAGUGUAUGUGACAAGAUGAUUAACGUUUGCUUUUGUUAAAUCAGGGCUUCCCCAGCCAGGACUUCGGCUCAGACUGUGGCAUAUUCAUGUUGAUGGUAGGUCAUAACGAGCUGUAAUGCACAAAUAUUGUAUCUAGAAUAACUUUCCAACAUGGACUUUUUUAAAGUUAUCUCACAUGUUGUCUCAUAAUUUUUUUUUUAAAGUCUGCCAUGUACAUCGUUAUGGAGUCACAGUUUGACUACUCAGUU